rnacentral:misc_RNA from 1 species
UACGGAGGGUGCAAACGUUGCUCGGAAUCAUUGGGCGUAAAGCGCACGUAGGCGGCCGGCCAAGUUGGAUGUGAAAGCCCUGGGCUCAACCUAGGACGUGCAUUCAAAACUGGUCGGCUUGAGUUCCGGAGGGGCCCAGAGAAUUCCCGGUGUAGAGGUGAAAUUCGUAGAUAUCGGGAGGAAUACCAGUGGCGAAGGCGCUGGGCUGGACGGAAACUGACGCUGAGGUGCGAAAGCGUGGGGAGCAAACAGG